UACGGAGGGUGCAAGCGUUGUCCGGAUUUAUUGGGUUUAAAGGGUGCGUAGGCGGCCUUAUAAGUCAGUGGUGAAAGCCCAUCGCUCAACGAUGGAACUGCCAUUGAUACUGUAAGGCUUGAGUACAGACGAGGUAGGCGGAAUUGAUGGUGUAGCGGUGAAAUGCAUAGAGUACCAUCAAGAACACCGAUUGCGUAGGCAGCUUACUAGGCUGUAACUGACGCUGAGGCACGAAAGCGUGGGGAGCGAACAGG
rnacentral:rRNA from 1 species